UAAGUCACGUCUUCUUGAGGAUCAUCUUGUACGACCCGUCUAUCGACCACAUUCACCAAGGAAAGUUUCCGACCUUCAAAAGUCAGACCUUACUGGCUCAGAUUUUAGCCAUUCCGAUUUCACAAAUUCAUCUCUCAAGGAUUGCCGUUUCAUCAAGUGUGUCAUGCUGUUUGUAAAGCUAGGUGGGGCGAAGAUGUCUGGUUCAAAAUUUUGUGACACAUUAAUCAGUCACAGUAACUUGGAAAAACUGGAAGCUGAUCACUACGAGUGGACGAAGACGUCGCUUCUUUGGCGAAUGUUACUGAAAGGCGCACACCUAGACUUUGUAAAACCCAGUAUAGGUGACAAUUGUUUGUAUGGAACCAAUAUUAGCAACGCCAUACUGGAAACAACAAGGAAUUGAACUGCAACGAAGGUCAGUAUAAAUAAAGGAGGUUUUAAAAUUGACAUGCGUAUAUUGCACCCAUUUUAGUAUUGACCGGUCAAUAAAUCUUUCAUUGCGGACCGGUUGCGAACAUGACGUUUUGUGGACCGGCACGUGACAUGGUCUUGACCAAUCGGCAAACAGAAAAAUUGAACUUUGACACUAACUAUAUAACAAAUAUAUAUUUAAAAAAAAAUCUUUAAUUUCUUUUAUGAAUUAUUAAUGAUUAUGAGGUGUGUUGGUCAAGGCCGUAAGUAAUAUACAUACACGGUUAGCAAGGUUCUAAAUUUCUUUGUUCUAAAUUUUCGUGUAAGGAUCACUGUUGAAAAACUUUCUAUUGCUCUUGACUAGUGCAUGCAUCUAAUUUCUGGUUAUCUGUUGAUUUUUUAACAGCGACAGUUUAGAAAAAGAAUUUUUAAAGAUGUGUCACAUAAAAUUGAUUGGAAUUGACGAAUUAAGGUACAGUCUGUGAAGAGACUAGUAAGAGAGAUGUGUAUUUUUUGUAUAUAUACACCAUUUGCGG